rnacentral:rRNA from 1 species
UUAUUUGAGAGUUUGAUCCUGGCUCAGGAUGAACGCUGGCGGCGUGCCUAACACAUGCAAGUUGAGCGAUUUACUUCGGUAAAGAGCGGCGGACGGGUGAGUAACGCGUGGGUAACCUACCCUGUACACACGGAUAACAUACCGAAAGGUAUGCUAAUACGGGAUAAUAUAUUUGAGAGGCAUCUCUUAAAUAUCAAAGGUGAGCCAGUACAGGAUGGACCCGCGUCUGAUUAGUUAGUUGGUAAGGUAACGGCUUACCAAGGCGACGAUCAGUAGCCGACCUGAGAGGGUGAUCGGCCACAUUGGAACUGAGACACGGUCCAAACUCCUACGGGAGGCAGCAGUGGGGAAUAUUGCACAAUGGGCGAAAGCCUGAUGCAGCAACGCCGCGUGAGUGAUGAAGGCCUUCGGGUCGUAAAACUCUGUCCUCAAGGAAGAUAAUGACGGUACUUGAGGAGGAAGCCCCGGCUAACUACGUGCCAGCAGCCGCGGUAAUACGUAGGGGGCUAGCGUUAUCCGGAUUUACUGGGCGUAAAGGGUGCGUAGGCGGUCUUUCAAGUCAGGAGUGAAAGGCUACGGCUCAACCGUAGUAAGCUCUUGAAACUGGGAGACUUGAGUGCAGGAGAGGAGAGUGGAAUUCCUAGUGUAGCGGUGAAAUGCGUAGAUAUUAGGAGGAACACCAGUUGCGAAGGCGGCUCUCUGGACUGUAACUGACGCUGAGGCACGAAAGCGUGGGGAGCAAACAGGAUUAGAUACCCUGGUAGUCCACGCUGUAAACGAUGAGUAC